GGCAGUUCUCGGGUGAUGCACCCUGGAACCAGAGAGGAGGGAGCCCGAUACCGGGGUGCGUUACCUGAGAACCGCC
rfam:Myotis brandtii contig166916, whole genome shotgun sequence.